CCAAGGAAGGCAGCAGGCACGCAAAGUACCCACUCCCAGCACGGGGAGGUAGUGACAAAAAAUAACGAUACGGGACUCAUUUGAGGCCCCGUAAUCGGAAUGAGUACACUUUAAAUCCUUUAACAAGGAUCCAUUGGAGGGCAAGUCAGGUGCCAGCAGCCGCGGUAAUUCCUGCUCCAAUAGCGUAUAUUAAAGUUGUUGCGGUUAAAAAGCUCGUAGUUGGUUCUGCGUGCCACGCUGUCGGUUCGCCGCCUGCCGGUGCUACUGGCAUGUCGUGGCAUGUCCUGUCGGUGGGUGUUCGGGGCCCCGUGCGGGCGGCAGGAGGCCGGGCUUGCUCGUGUUUCUCCCUGCACGUCGGCGGGUCCACUCCGGCUCCCUACUAUCCUACCUAGGUGCUCUUCACCGAGUGUCGAGGUAGGCCGACACGUUUACUUUGAACAAAUCAGAGUGCUUAAAGCAGGCUGAAAAAUUCUGCCUGAAUGAUGGCGCAUGGAAUAAUAAAACAGGACCUUGGUUCUAUUUUGUUGGUUCUUAGGAACACAAGGUAAUGAUCAAUAAGGACAGGCGGGGGCAUUCGUAUUGCGGGGUUAGAGGUGAAAUUCUUGGAUCCUCGCAAGACGACCGAGAGCGAAAGCAUUUGCCAAGUAUGUCUCGAUUGAUCAAGAACGAAAGUUAGAGGUUCGAAGGCGAUCAGAUACCGCCCUAGUUCUAACCAUAAACGAUGCCAGCCAGCGAUCCGCCGAUGUUCCUCCGAUGACUCGGCGGGGAGCUUCUCCCCGGGAAACCAAAGCUUUUGGGUUCCGGGGGAAGUAUGGUUGCAAAGCUGAAACUUAAAGGAAUUGACGGAAGGGCACCACCAGGAGUGGAGCCUGCGGCUUAAUUUGACUCAACACGGGAAACCUCACCAGCUCAGGACAUUGUAAGGAUUGACAGAUUGAUAGCUCUUUCUUGAUUCAGUGGGUAGUGGUGCAUGGCCGUUCUUAGUUGGUGGAUCGAUUUGUCUGGUUAAUUCCGAUAACGAACGAGACUCUAGCCUAUUAACUAGACGAUCCGAGAGCCCACGUCUCUCGCGACAAUCAAUCUUCUUAAGGGGACAGGCGGCUUAUAGUCGCACGAGAUUGAGCAAUAACAGGUCUGUGAUGCCCUUAGAUGUCCUGGGCCGCACGCGCGCUACAAUGAAAGAAUCAGCGUGUGUCUCCCAGCCCGAGAGGGCCGGGUAAUCCGCUGAACCUCUUUCGUGCUUGGGAUUGUAGCUUGCAAUUGUUCUUCAUGAACGAGGAAUUCCCAGUAAGCGCGAGUCAUAAGCUCGCGUUGAUUACGUCCCUGCCCUUUGUACACACCGCCCGUCGCUACUACCGAUUGAAUGAUUUAGUGAGGUCUUCGGACUGGCGGGAAAUCCCUAUCGCUCCGGCGGUAUCGACGAACGCUGGGAAGAUGACCAAACUUGAUCAUUUAGAGGAAGUAAAAGUCGUAACAAGGUCUCCGUAGGUGCACCUGCGGAAGGGAUCA
rnacentral:rRNA from 1 species